AUUGAACGCUGGCGGCAUGCCUUACACAUGCAAGUCGAACGGUAACGGGCCUUCGGGUGCCGACGAGUGGAGAACGGGGGAGUAAUACAUCGGAACGUGCCCGAUCGUGGGGGAUAACGAGGCGAAAGCUUUGCUAAUACCGCAUACGAUCUACGGAUGAAAGCAGGGGAACGCAAGGCCUUGCGCGGACGGAGCGGACGAUGGCAGAUUAGGAAGUUGGUGGGAGAAAAGCUUACCAAUCGGACGAUCUGUAGCUGGUCUGAGAGGAUGAUCAGCCACACUGGGACUGAGACACGGCCCAGACUCCUACGGGAGGCAGCAGUGGGGAAUUUUGGACAAUGGGCGCAAGCCUGAUCCAGCCAUGCCGCGUGCAGGAUGAAGGCCUUCGGGUUGUAAACUGCUUUUGUACGGAACGAAAAGCCUUCUUUUAAUACAGGAGGGUCAUGACGGUACCGUAAGAAUAAGCACCGGCUAACUACGUG
rnacentral:rRNA from 1 species